GACGAACCGUGCGAACGUUGUUCGGAAUCACUGGGCUUAAAGGGCGCGUAGGCGGGCCAUAAAGUCAGGGGUGAAAUCCUCCAGCUUAACUGGAGAACUGCCUUUGAUACUGAUGGUCUCGAGUAAGGUAGGGGCAUGCGGAACUGAUGGUGGAGCGGUGAAAUGUGUUGAUAUCAUCAGGAACUCCGGUGGCGAAGGCGGCAUGCUGGACCUUCACUGACGCUGAGGCGCGAAAGCUAGGGUAGCGAACGGG
rnacentral:rRNA from 1 species